GACAGAGGGUGCAAACGUUGUUCGGAAUUACUGGGCGUAAAGCGCGUGUAGGCUGCUCAGAAAGUCGGAUGUGAAAGCCCUGGGCUUAACCUAGGAAGUGCAUUCGAAACUUCUGAGCUGGAGUUCUGGAGAGGAAGGCGGAAUUCUCGGUGUAGAGGUGAAAUUCGUAGAUAUCGGGAGGAACACCGGUGGCGAAGGCGGCGACCUGGGUCGAGACUGACGCUGAUGCGCGAAAGCGUGGGGAGCAAACAGG
rnacentral:rRNA from 1 species